UCCACUCUGUCAUAGCACACUCAAUGAA
rnacentral:piRNA from 1 species